rnacentral:lncRNA from 1 species
UGUUGCCUCUACGUGUGUGCUGCUCUCAGAGAGAGAAGCCAAGCUUGUCAGGGCUUGGAAUUUAUACAAUUAAGAGGAUGCCUUGACAAAUGGAUGGAACUAGAAGAAACCAUCCUGAAUGAGGAAGUCAACCGCUUUUUCUUAAGUGUAAAUCACCUGAUGAGGAAGAACCAGAGCUAAUGUUACCCUCCACCCAACAUGGUUACUAUGUGUCAAGAACUGUGCCAAAGUAUACAGGUUUUAAUUUAAUCACAUGAGCCCUGUGAGGUAGUUAUAGCCUCCAUUUACUUGAGAAGACUUUUAAACUGAGGUCCCAAAGGUUGCCACUCAACUCUUUACCCCAUUCAUUAAAAGCCUUCAUCAAAAAGCAUGGAGUGGUGACUACACUCGAAAGUGAGAGUUGGGACUGAAAUGAUGGCCAGAAGUAAAGAAUAUUAGUGCUCUUCCUGAGGAGUUGGAUUCAAUUCCCAGCACCCACAUGCGACUCAAAAUCAUCUGUGACUCCAGUUCCAGGAGACUCAGUGCCCUCUUCUGGCCUCUGUGGACAUAUAUACACAUGGUGUACAGAUAGAGAUGCAGGCAAAACAUCCAUAUGCAUAAAAUAAAAAUUUUAAAUA